rnacentral:misc_RNA from 1 species
GAUGAAGAACGUAGCGAAAUGCGAUAAGUAAUGUGAAUUGCAGAGUUCAGUGAAUCAUCGAAUCUUUGAACGCACAUUGCGCCCGUUAGUAUUCUGACGGGCAUGCCUGUCCGAGCGUCAUUUCAACCCUCAAGCACCGCUUGGCGUUGGCGGAUUGCGUGCCUCGCACUGCAACCGCCCAAAUUUAGUGGCGGUCCCGCUGUGGUUCCCUUGCGUAGUAACUCACCUCGCACCGGACCCAGGCGGCGGCCUGCCGUGAAACCCCCACUACAAAAGGUUGACCUCGGAUCAGGUAGGAAUACCCGCUGAACUUAAGCAUAUUCAAUAAGCGGAGGA